AACACAUUUCAUUCGCGCCUGUAUCUUGCUGAACCGCUGCCAUUAUGGCCAACGAUCCGGUUGAGCAAAAUUUCAGGUGUGUGAGAAAUGUGUUUAGCA